GAUGAACGCUGGCGGCGUGCCUAAUACAUGCAAGUCGAGCGAACGGACGAGAAGCUUGCUUUUCUGAUGUUAGCGGCGGACGGGUGAGUAACACGUGGAUAACCUACCUAUAAGACUGGGAUAACUUCGGGAAACCGGAGCUAAUACCGGAUAAUAUUUUGAACCGCAUGGUUCAAAAGUGAAAGACGGUCUUGCUGUCACUUAUAGAUGGAUCCGCGCCGCAUUAGCUAGUUGGUAAGGUAACGGCUUACCAAGGCAACGAUGCAUAGCCGACCUGAGAGGGUGAUCGGCCACACUGGAACUGAGACACGGUCCAGACUCCUACGGGAGGCAGCAGUAGGGAAUCUUCCGCAAUGGGCGAAAGCCUGACGGAGCAACGCCGCGUGAGUGAUGAAGGUCUUCGGAUCGUAAAACUCUGUUAUUAGGGAAGAACAUAUGUGUAAGUAACUGUGCACAUCUUGACGGUACCUAAUCAGAAAGCCACGGCUAACUACGUGCCAGCAGCCGCGGUAAUACGUAGGUGGCAAGCGUUAUCCGGAAUUAUUGGGCGUAAAGCGCGCGUAGGCGGUUUUUUAAGUCUGAUGUGAAAGCCCACGGCUCAACCGUGGAGGGUCAUUGGAAACUGGAAAACUUGAGUGCAGAAGAGGAAAGUGGAAUUCCAUGUGUAGCGGUGAAAUGCGCAGAGAUGUGGAGGAACCCCAGUGGCGAAGGCGACUUUCUGGUCUGUAACUGACGCUGAUGUGCGAAAGCGUGGGGAUCAAACAGGAUUAGAUACCCUGGUAGUCCACGCCGUAAACGAUGAGUGCUAAGUGUUAGGGGGUUUCCGCCCCUUAGUGCUGCAGCUAACGCAUUAAGCACUCCGCCUGGGGAGUACGACCGCAAGGUUGAAACUCAAAGGAAUUGACGGGGGCCCGCACAAGCGGUGGAGCAUGUGGUUUAAUUCGAAGCAACGCGAAGAACCUUACCAAAUCUUGACAUCCUUUGACAACUCUAGAGAUAGAGCCUUCCCCUUCGGGGGACAAAGUGACAGGUGGUGCAUGGUUGUCGUCAGCUCGUGUCGUGAGAUGUUGGGUUAAGUCCCGCAACGAGCGCAACCCUUAAGCUUAGUUGCCAUCAUUAAGUUGGGCACUCUAAGUUGACUGCCGGUGACAAACCGGAGGAAGGUGGGGAUGACGUCAAAUCAUCAUGCCCCUUAUGAUUUGGGCUACACACGUGCUACAAUGGACAAUACAAAGGGCAGCGAAACCGCGAGGUCAAGCAAAUCCCAUAAAGUUGUUCUCAGUUCGGAUUGUAGUCUGCAACUCGACUACAUGAAGCUGGAAUCGCUAGUAAUCGUAGAUCAGCAUGCUACGGUGAAUACGUUCCCGGGUCU
rnacentral:rRNA from 1 species